rnacentral:rRNA from 1 species
AUUGAACGCUGGCGGCAGGCUUAACACAUGCAAGUCGAGCGGGGUGAUGGUGCUUGCACUAUCACUUAGCGGCGGACGGGUGAGUAAUGCUUAGGAAUCUGCCUAUUAGUGGGGGACAACAUCUCGAAAGGGAUGCUAAUACCGCAUACAUCCUACGGGAGAAAGCAAGGGAUCACUUGUGACCUUGCGCUAAUAGAUGAGCCUAAGUCGGAUUAGCUAGUUGGUGGGGUAAAGGCCUACCAAGGCGACGAUCUGUAGCGGGUCUGAGAGGAUGAUCCGCCACACUGGGACUGAGACACGGCCCAGACUCCUACGGGAGGCAGCAGUGGGGAAUAUUGGACAAUGGGGGGAACCCUGAUCCAGCCAUGCCGCGUGUGUGAAGAAGGCCUUAUGGUUGUAAAGCACUUUAAGCGAGGAGGAGGCUCUUUUGGUUAAUACCCAAGAUGAGUGGACGUUACUCGCAGAAUAAGCACCGGCUAACUCUGUGCCAGCCGCCGCAGUAA